rnacentral:rRNA from 1 species
GAUGAACGCUGGCGGCGUGCCUAAUACAUGCAAGUCGAGCGAACGGACGAGAAGCUUGCUUCUCUGAUGUUAGCGGCGGACGGGUGAGUAACACGUGGAUAACCUACCUAUAAGACUGGGAUAACUUCGGGAAACCGGAGCUAAUACCGGAUGAUAUUUUGAACCGCAUGGUUCAAAAGUGAAAGACGGUCUUGCUGUCACUUAUAGAUGGAUCCGCGCUGCAUUAGCUAGUUGGUAAGGUAACGGCUUACCAAGGCAACGAUGCAUAGCCGACCUGAGAGGGUGAUCGGCCACACUGGAACUGAGACACGGUCCAGACUCCUAAGGGAGGCAGCAGUAGGGAAUCUUCCGCAAUGGGCGAAAGCCUGACGGAGCAACGCCGCGUGAGUGAUGAAGGUCUUAGGAUCGUAAAACUCUGUUAUUAGGGAAGAACAUAUGUGUAAGUAACUGUGCACAUCUUGACGGUACCUAAUCAGAAAGCCACGGCUAACUACGUG